rnacentral:rRNA from 1 species
AUGAAUCCCAAUUGGCUGAAUUUCCAAAACUGUGUUGUAGUGAAUAUUCUUAAAGGUGAAGUGGACAAAGAGAUGCUGUUGGGUCUUUUGACUGACACUUUCUGUAAUACUAGAUAGUGGACUUGGCAAAUUAGAGGUUUAUCCAGCAAGACAUUCCUGGUGAGGUUUCCUCCAUGGAAGAAAGUUGAAGAUCUUAUAGAACUGCCUGCUUUUUGCCUACCCUAGGAUGUGUCUGCUACACUUACUGAAUGGAAAGGGGCGUGUGAACCUUUUGGGGAACUCGUUGUGGCCUGGGUACUAAUUGAAAGAAUCCCUCCUAAGCGGUGCACAUGGAAAGUGUUUGCCUAGAUUGCCUCUUUGUUUGGUGUGCUUAUUGAUGUGGACUGGAAUGGUAUGUUUAGGACCUUUCUUGAGAACGUCAGAAUCAAAAUUGCCUGCAGGGAUCCCACUAAAAUCCCUUUUGAGAGAUUAAUUGAGAUGAAGAAGAAGCUAUUUCUAUUGGGCUUCACUGUAGAAGAUUUUGAG